GAUGAAGAACGUAGCGAAAUGCGAUACGUAAUGUGAAUUGCAGAAUUCAGUGAAUCAUCGAAUCUUUGAACGCACAUUGCGCCUGCCAGCACUCUGGCAGGCAUGCCUGUUCGAGCGUCAUUUCAACCAUCAAGCCCUAGGCUUGCGUUGGAGCCCUGCGGCUGCCGCAGGCCCCUAAAAGCAGUGGCGGGCUCGCUAUCACACCGAGUGCAGUAGAUUACUCUUCGCUCAGGGCGUGUGGCGGGUUCCAGCCGUGAAACCCCCUACUUCUCAAGGUUGACCUCGGAUCAGGUAGGAAUACCCGCUGAACUUAAGCAUUCAAUAAGCGGAGGA
rnacentral:misc_RNA from 1 species